rnacentral:rRNA from 1 species
ACAUGAAGCUGGAAUCGCUAGUAAUCGCGAAUCAGAAUGUCGCGGUGAAUACGUUCCCGGGUCUUGUACACACCGCCCGUCACACCAUGGGAGUUGGAAAUGCCCGAAGUCAGUGACCGAACCGAAAGGAAGGAGCUGCCGAAGGUGGAGCCGAUGACUGGGGUGAAGUCGUAACAAGGUAGC